rnacentral:lncRNA from 1 species
GUCAUCCUUAUCUCAUCUACUGCGGAGCAGAAAAGAUCCGGCUCAGUCGAGAGGCGAGAACGUGAGGGGAAUCAUCAUCAGCAACAGCCAGGAGCAAUUGCCGGAAACAGGGGAGAAGGAGGAGGUGGUGGUGGAAGAAGGCUGGCGAUUGCAGAGAUGGGGCGUCGAGGGUACAUCAGUGCCACGGCCAUAGGCUCCGUGGACCCAUGGGCCCUCAGGAGAGGGUAUUCGCCCGACUCUAUAACUCUCGGCCUUUCUUUACAGCUUGAUCUGUUUUCUCUUCUAGUUAAUGUCUGGGUGUAGAGAUACUCUUAGUGCAUUUUAGAUUCAGAUUCGUAGCAAUUGCAGAGUUGAUAACAAAAAUCUGAAGAUCGCAUGGUCCAUCAAUUGUUCCGCUGUGGCAAUGGGGUUCAAUUCUAGGGCAACUAAUGCAUAUUCUGCUCAUCUUGUUUGAAUGAUGGCUAAAGGGUGUAGUAACUCAGCAUAACUGGAUUGUCUUGCAUAUAGUUUCCAUGUUCCUGACCCCUUUGAUCACUCUGCUACGAGGAUGGAUUUUGUUUGCUGCCUUGUUGAUUAUGAGAUGCUAAAAAAUUUUGCCUUGUUGCUUCAUCCUGCUGAUUUUUUUUCAGUCACAUUGAAUUGCUUCGUGAUAGAAAAUGUAAGACAUAGGACAAAAAUUAAAGUUUACUAGUGGAAAUUGUCUGGAGAAAUGUUUUGUGUUUCUCUUUGAUGCAUUAUCUUUUCUUUGGAAUAUUAAUUUUGCUGCAAGGAAUGCAUUAUCUUUGUGGCAAAGAAAUGCCUCAAUCAUGAGCUACAAGGAAAUGGAUAAGAUGAUAAAAGUGGACAUAUUGGAGUUGAGAGGCACUUUUAAGAUUGGGUUGGUGAUGGCAAGAGAAAUUGAACUCUCAUACCCCAUUUAGGUCAUUGUCAUCUGUUCUUUCUUUGCCCGUCUCCCUAGAUUUCUUACACAUUUAUAGUAAGAAAUCCUUGCAAACUCUUUCUAAAUAUGCUGAAAUCUAGCAAGCAAUUUUAUUGGCUCAGUAACUAGAAAUUUAUACUUGCUGUCACUUUUUAAGAUUUCUGGUUCAAGUUUGUCUACUUAUAAGUGUUGCAUAUGUUUGGAGCUUUGCCAUUAAAAUUUUCACUCCAGUUCUCUUGAUCUUCGUUUCUUUGUAACAGGUGCUAACAUUUAUGAGUGAUCUUAAACUGUAAAUGUUGAUUCCAUCUCCUCGAACAUUUGGAACCUGCCUGCACUGAGUGCAUAGUACGCAAAGAAGAUGGCUUUUGGUUUCACAAUGAGGCAUUACUAUUCUGUCUAUUGGCAUCCAGAUAUCGACACAUUCCAUGUUCAGAUUG